CCUACGGGUGGCAGCAGUGAGGAAUAUUGGUCAAUGGCCGGAAGGCUGAACCAGCCAAGCCGCGUGAGGGAAUAAGGCCCUAUGGGUCGUAAACCCCUUUUGCCAGGGAGCAAAGGCGUCCACGAGUGGACGAAAGGAUAGUCCCUGAAGAAAAAGCAUCCGCUAACUCCGUGCCGGCAGCCGCGGUAAUACGGGGGAGGGGAGCGUUAUCCGGAUGUAUUGGGUUUAAGGGGUGCGUAGGCGGAGGGUAAAGUCAGCGGUAAAAUUUCGGGGCUCAAGCCCGUCGUGCCGUUGAAACUGACACACUUGAGUGAGUGAGAGGUAAGCGGAAUGCGUGGUGUAGCGGUGAAAUGCAUAGAUAUCACGCAGAACGCCGAUUGCGAAGGCAACUUACCGGCGCUCAACUGACGCUGAGGCACGAAAGUGCGGGUAGCGAACAGGAUUAGAUACCCUUGUAGUC
rnacentral:rRNA from 1 species